rnacentral:rRNA from 1 species
GAUGAACGCUGGCGGCGUGCCUAAUACAUGCAAGUCGAGCGAACAGACGAGGAGCUUGCUCCUCUGACGUUAGCGGCGGACGGGCGAGUAACACGUGGAUAACCUACCUAUAAGACUGGGAUAAUUUCGGGAAACCGGAGCUAAUACCGGAUAAUAUAUUGAACCGCAUGGUUCAAUAGUGAAAGACGGUUUUGCUGUCACUUAUAGAUGGAUCCGCGCCGGAUUAGCUAGGUGGUAAGGUAACGGCUUACCAAGGCAACGAUGCGUAGCCGACCUGAGAGGGUGAUCGGCCACACUGGAACUGAGACACGGUCCAGACUCCUACGGGAGGCAGCAGUAGGGAAUCUUCCGCAAUGGGCGAAAGCUUGACGGAGCAACGCCGCGUGAGUGAUGAAGGUCUUCGGAUCGUAAAACUCUGUUAUUAGGGAAGAACAAAUGUGUAAGUAACUAUGCACGUCUUGACGGUACCUAAACAGAAAGCCACGGCUAACUACGUG